rnacentral:rRNA from 1 species
GACGAACGCUGGCGGCGUGCUUAACACAUGCAAGUCGAACGGAAAGGCCCUGCUUUUGUGGGGUGCUCGAGUGGCGAACGGGUGAGUAACACGUGAGUAACCUGCCCUUGACUUUGGGAUAACUUCAGGAAACUGGGGCUAAUACUGGAUAGGAGCUCCUGCUGCAUGGUGGGGGUUGGAAAGUUUCGGCGGUUGGGGAUGGACUCGCGGCUUAGCAGCUUGUUGGUGGGGUAGUGGCUUACCAAGGCUUUGACGGGUAGCCGGCCUGAGAGGGUGACCGGCCACAUUGGGACUGAGAUACGGCCCAGACUCCUACGGGAGGCAGAAGUGGGGAAUAUUGCACAAUGGGCGGAAGCCUGAUGCAGCAACGCCGCGUGCGGGAUGACGGCCUUCGGGUUGUAAACCGCUUUCGCCUGUGACGAAGCGUGAGUGACGGUAAUGGGUAAAGAAGCACCGGCUAACUACGUG